CGGAGCGUAGCGCAGUCUGGUAGCGCACCUGAUUUGGGAUCGAGGGGGGGGUCGCAGGUUCGAAUCCUGCCGCUCCGA
rnacentral:tRNA from 1 species